rnacentral:rRNA from 1 species
AAUCAUGGCUCAGGAUGAACGCUAGCUACAGGCUUAACACAUGCAAGUCGAGGGGGCAGCGGGAUUGAAGCUUGCUUCAAUUGCCGGCGACCGGCGCACGGGUGAGUAACGCGUAUCCAACCUUCCGUACACUCAGGGAUAGGCCUUUCGAAAGAAAGAUUAAUACCUGAUGGUAUGAUGAGAUUGCAGUGAUAGCAUCAUUAAAGAUUUAUCGGUGUACGAUGGGGGAUGCG